CUCCUGGCAUCAGUAGAGCCAGUGGCAAACUGUCACUACCGUUUAGGGUUCUUGUUCUUCAUAACAACUAAUCAGUCGUUACAAUGAACAUUGCAUCCAAAUCCAUACGAUAUUUGAAUCAAAUCCAUCUCAACCCCAAAUUCCCACAAAACCCUAAACACCCUUUCAACAUCAAAUCCAUUCUACCCUCAAAUUUUUCAUCAACAUCCUACAGAAAGAGACUCAACAGAAGAAAUUUAGCAGCCUCAAAACCAACCCUAAACGAACCCCAAUUCCACAAAGCAAUCUCACAUCUCCUUCCAAGAUUCACCCCACAAGACCUCUACAACCUAAUCACCCAACAACAAGACCCAUUAAUCUGUCUACACCUAUUCAAUUAUGCCUCUAACCAACCCAGAUUCACCCAUGACACAACCACAUUCCACAUCACAAUCAAGAAGCUCGGCGCCGCGAAAAUGUACCCCGAAAUGGACCGAAUUGUCGAAUCAGUGUUAUCGGUAUCGGAUCAGUCUUUCGGGUCUGAGGUGUUGUAUAAUUCGAUUAUAUAUUUUUAUACUGAAGGUAGAAUGUUAAGUAAGGCUGUUAGUGUUUAUAAACAUAUGAGAAGUUUGAAACAGAUGGAGUGUAGGCCGUCGAUUCGGACGUAUAAUUUGCUUUUCGCAGCGUUUUUGAGUCGUAGGAGUAAUAGUUAUAUAAACCAUGUGUAUAUGGGUACGAUGAGAAUGUUGUUUAAGAAUAUGGUGGAUGAUGGGGUUGAACCGGAUGUUUUUGCGUUGAAUAGUAUGAUUAAAGGGUACGUGUUGUCGCUUCAUGUUAAUGAUGCGCUUAGGGUGUAUCAUCAGAUGGGUGUUGUUUAUGAUUGUAGGCCGAAUUCGUUUACGUUUGAUUAUUUGAUUCAUGGGUUGUGUGCGCAAGGGAGGACGUGUAACGCGAUGAAGAUUUGUGGGGAGAUGAAGGAGAAAGGGUUUGUUCCGAGUGGGAAGUCGUAUAAUUCGGUUGUGUGUGCGUUUGCGCUUGAGGGGGAGGUUGAUCGAGCGGUGGGGUGGUUGUGGGAGAUGGUGGAGAAUGGGAGAUUGGUUGAUGAUAUUACGUGUUGGACGGUGGUUGAUGAGUGUUGUAAACGGGAUAGGUGUGGUGAUGCGUUGGGGUUGAUUGAGGAGUUGCAAGAGAAAAGAGUGGUGGAUAGACGUGGUUAUAAGAAGCUUCGACAUGAACUUAAAGUUAACUAUGGAGAGUUGUGUGACCGAAAUGGGAUGAAAAAUGGAUCACGUAAUCGGAUUGAGUAAAGAAAGUGUUGACAUGCACACCUGAGUGGAGCCAAAGAGACUCGAGUCUGCGGUUAUGUUUGGUUAUGGCGUGUUUCUACAGAAGAAUCAAUAUACCGUUUAAAAGAAGGGGUUGGAAUUCUUUCCAGUUCAAGGCGUCUAUUUUGUGAUUCACAUGGAAGCAUAGACCCUCGAUGACUCGAUGAGAUACACAAUGGGUCCCAAAUUGCGGUUGGAAAGCUCGGUAAUUUGUGGUUCGGGGCAAAGCCUGGUUGGGGCCUUAAAAUUGUUUUUUUCCUAAGUAGUAUUGAUGCAAAUGUUAUUUUUUUUGUGUUACUGUUUAAUUAACUGUAAUGUAAAGAUUGUUAUGUAUGUUUUUAUUAUUUAUAAAAUAACACCAGAUAUUUGAAGUUAA